rnacentral:lncRNA from 1 species
AAAUGCUUCAUCAUUUACCUAUUAUACAUCUGAUACUUACGUGAAACUUACAUAACAAUAUUACGAUAUGUUACGUGACUGACCAAGUUACAUCAGAAAAAGCAUUUGUACGAAAAAUGACAGGAACAUGUGUAGUUUCCUGUUAUCGUAGAUAAAUGUGCAAUUUGUAAAUUCAUUAAUAAGACGAGGCUCUUAAAAUCCCAUUCAAGUUAUUACAAACAAAUUGAUGGGAUCAAAAGAUCAAACGCACCUUAACAUUAAAGUACUUAGAAC